UACGGAGGGAGCUAGCGUGGUUCGGAAUUACUGGGCGUAAAGCGCGCGUAGGCGGCUUUGUAAGUUAGAGGUGAAAGCCUGGAGCUCAACUUCAGAAUUGCCUUUAAGACUGCAUCGCUUGAAUCCGGGAGAGGUGAGUGGAAUUCCGAGUGUAGAGGUGAAAUUCGUAGAUAUUCGGAAGAACGCCAGUGGCGAAGGCGGCUCACUGGACCGGCAUUGACGCUGAGGUGCGAAAGCGUGGGGAGCAAACAGG
rnacentral:rRNA from 1 species